CCCCGGGUUAGAGCAGGAAACCAAGGCAGCGCCCACCGCCCCAGUGCUCCUCCCAGGACUGGCGGGGGGCAGGGAGGGGCUCAGAGGCCCAGGCCUUCCUGGGAAGGAGCCAGGGCUGGCAGAGAGCUCAUCGCAGACCCUAAGCCAUCAGGGAUGGGAGGCGUGGGGGCCAGAGAAGCCACGUGACCUGGUGAGGGAGCAGAGCUGUGGGGACCCAGGGCGCACUGCAGGCACCUCCCACAACGCUCUCACUGUCCUGGGCCCCUGCCGUCAAAAUGUAUCAAAUGCAAUCAUUUUAUGAGCGUGCCAAACAUCUAUUUUCAUUUUCCCAAUAAUUUAUCCCUCCCUCCCGCCAACAGCAUGAGGUUUCGGGUAGUUUCACACGUCACAUCCUGCAACGUCCACCUUCUACCCACCUCCAGCAUGAGGUUUCGGGUAGUUUCACACGUCACAUCCUGCAACGUCCACCUUCUACCCACCUCCAGCAUGAGGUUUCGGGUAGUUUCACACGUCACAUCCUGCAACGUCCACCUUCUACCCAGACGUCCGUCAGUUGGUGCCUGGCCAGCUGUGCUCUGGGGAGAGGGGCCGCCGUUUCGGGGUUCUCUGUCAGAUGACAGCUAACCCAGAGCCUCCAAGCCUCCGAGCAGAGACUAGAGUGUACCAUCUGUGGUCCGACCCUCGCCGGCACGGGGUGGGGGGGGCACGCCUCGCCCAGGACUGCAGACGGGCCUGUGCCGUGGGGCAUAGACCAGCCACCGCAGACAGCCGGGCCUGGGGGCUGACCAGCCACGGCUGCAGCAAGACCGCUUGCCCCUCACCCACCCCUCCACUGACCGGCCCUUCCCCGCAGUGCUCAGGCCACGAGAGAAGGAAGUCCGCUGGCCGUCGUGUCAGAAGACGGGUCUUGUCCCAUUCCGUCACCCACAGAGCGCCAGGAUGUUUUCAACAACCCAGCUGAAGACAGACCAGGCACUCUGGUGGGGAGAGCGAGCGUGUGCAUGGCUGUGCACGUGUGUACAUCUGUGUGUGCACGUGUGUGUGUGUGUGCACGUGUGUGUGUGCAGUCACUGAGCGCACGCGCAGCUGCAUUUUCAGCGUGAAGCAGGGCGGGUGGGGCCGGCUCUCUAGGCCCCUCGAGCUCUGGACAGCUCAGGAGUCAGUUUCCCUCCUUCUAGGUUUCUUUGCAGGGACCUUCCCCUCCUCCUUCUUCUAAAGGAAAACAAGAGCGCCUUGAAAAACAAGUUUUGCUGAAAUUCAAGACUACCUCAGAGGACUUAUUCCUGAACCCUGAAGACUCCCCAUCUGUGCUGCCCCUCCAAACGAGCCUGCCUUGGACAAAAGUUCCUUCCCUCCGCUUAGAUCCCUUACCCGGGUGCCUGUGAACCCCAGGAUGACAGACACCCCCGGACUCGGGGACCCACAGGGUCUUGGCCGUGUCCUGUCAAGUCUAAACCCUGCAGGCCCACCCAGGGAGCUGGGGGGAGGGAGGGCCACGGCCAUCGGCGGAGACCUGGACCCACUGAUGGACCCUAGUGGUGAGAAAGGGUGGGACACGCGGCUCUGGGGGUUGGGGUGUGCGCGGAGCUGACAGAGCCUGAGCGCGAAGUCCCCUGUGGGAGGGGCCGGAGACAAGGCGACUCAAAGCCCAGGGCUCUGGCGUGGCCACAGGCAGCCUGCAAGUGUCCACAGGGCGAGGUCCUCCUUCCUCGGCCCUGAAGGAUGACCCACGGGCAGACGCCACCUUGGCACGUGUGACUCCGGUACUUCCUCCGGAAGCGGGGACCGCAGGUAGCGUGGAGCCCCCAGGCUCGUGAGCCCGCCCAGCCAAGGUCCCACCAGGUCUCUGGCUCUGGGGGAAAACACACGACGCCAUUCAAGAGCAUCAGAAUGACAGCGACCAAAAGCUUAAACAAAACAGCAAAAGUCGUCAUUUAUUUAUUUUUUUGGUCAAGUACAGCACAGAGACAGACUUGGGAAAAUGCAUCAUUUGGGGUCAGAAAAAAUGUUCAAAUCGGCAAACGGGGCUUAAGUUUUUGACUCCCAAGGGUAAUUCUGAAGCGUUUCUAGAACAAAUUGAGCCCCUGCUAAGUCAGGCGUUCACAUACCUUUGCUCUUCUCCAACAUCUAGAGGGGCAAUUAUGAUCCCAUUCCAAGGGGACUUGGUCCCAGCAGGGAAAGGAGCCUGUGUUCUCCCAGCACGGGGGAGGGGUGGGCGGCACACAAGCCCCGCUGAGGCUGGUUCCUGCUUUUAUGCUCCAGGGAACAAGAGCACGUUCUGUUAGGCACCUCGCAAGGGGCUCCCUUCCUCCGGCUACCUGAGACCACGGCAAACCCACUGCAGCCACACGGCGGGACACAAGAUAAAGCACACCAUUUCUCGGGCUUCCCUGGUGGCGCAGUGGUUAAGAAUCCGCCUGCCAAUGCAGGGGACACGGGUUCGAGCCCUGGUCCGGGAAGAUCCCACAUGCCGCGGAGCGACUAAGCCCGUGCGCCACAACUACUGAGCCUGCGCUCUAGAGUCCGCGAGCCACAGCUACUGAGCCCGCAUGCGACAACUACUGAAGCCCGUCCGCCUACAGCCCCUGCUCCGCAACAAGAGAAGCCACCGCAAUGAGAAGCCCGUGCACUGCAAGGAAGAGUAGCCCCCGCUCACCGCAACUAGAGAAAGCCCGCGCGCAGCAACAAA